AACGUACCCUGGAGUGGGGGAUAACGUAGCGAAAGUUACGCUAAUACCGCAUACGAUCUAAGGAUGAAAGCAGGGGACCGCAAGGCCUUGUGCUCCUGGAGCGGCCGAUAUCUGAUUAGCUAGUUGGUGGGGUAAAGGCCUACCAAGGCAUCGAUCAGUAGCUGGUCUGAGAGGACGACCAGCCACACUGGAACUGAGACACGGUCCAGACUCCUACGGGAGGCAGCAGUGGGGAAUUUUGGACAAUGGGCGCAAGCCUGAUCCAGCAAUGCCGCGUGAGUGAAGAAGGCCUUCGGGUUGUAAAGCUCUUUUGUCAGGGAAGAAACGGUGGAGGCUAAUAUCCUUUGCUAAUGACGGUACCUGAAGAAUAAGCACCGGCUAACUACGUGCCAGCAGCCGCGGUAAUACGUAGGGUGCAAGCGUUAAUCGGAAUUACUGGGCGUAAAGCGUGCGCAGGCGGUUUUGUAAGUCUGUCGUGAAAUCCCCGGGCUCAACCUGGGAAUUGCGAUGGAGACUGCAAGGCUAGAAUCUGGCAGAGGGGGGUAGAAUUCCACGUGUAGCAGUGAAAUGCGUAGAGAUGUGGAGGAACACCGAUGGCGAAGGCAGCCCCCUGGGUCAAGAUUGACGCUCAUGCACG
rnacentral:rRNA from 1 species